rnacentral:sRNA from 1 species
UUCUCUCUAAUACCCUUUUCAACUCUACCUUUUUUUAGCCACUUUCAUUUCUACCAUCUUUAAAAUUUUAAUGACCAUUUUACCUCUAUUUGGAAAUUGUUUUAGGUUAACAAAAUGAAAUAUUAAUUUUUUCGCCUAAAAUAUUCUAAAAUAAAUUUCCUGCCAAAAUUUUCCCGCCAAAAUUAUAAGGGUUUUAAAAGAUUUACAAGGGAUUUUAAAAGGGUUUUAAAAUAUUUGCAAGAGAUUUUUAAAUAGUUUUAAAAGAUUUACAAUGGAUUUUAAAAGGGUUUUAAAAGAUUUACAAGGGAUUUUAAAAGGGUUUUAAAAUAUUUGCAAGAGAUUUUUAAAUAGUUUUAAAAGAUUUACAAUGGAUUUUAAAAGGGUUUUAAAAGAUUUACAAGGGAUUUUAAAAGGGUUUUAAAAAAUUUACAAGGGAUUCUAAAGGGUUUUAAAAAAUUUACAAAGGUCUUUUAAAGAUUUUUAAAGGGUUUAAAAUUGUUUUAAAAUGGUUUAAAAAUAUUUACAAGUUAUUUUAAAAGGGUUUUAAAAGAUUUACAAGAGAUUUUAAAAGGGUUUUAAAAUAUUUACAAGGGAUUUUAAAGGGCUUUAAAAGAUUUACAAAGGUUUUUUAAAGAUUAUUAAAGGGUUGAAAAGUGUUUUAAAAGAUUUACAAGAGUUUUAAAAUAUUUACAAGAGAUUUUUAAAGGGUUUAAAAGUGUUUUAAAAGAUUUACAAGGGAUUUUAAAAGGGUUUAAAAUAAUUUAUAAGAGAUUUGUAAAAGGUUUAAAAGUAUUUUAAAAGAUGUACUUGAGUUUUUAAAAGAUUUACAAGAAUUUACAAGAAGACACUUUAAAACCCUUUAAAAACUCUUGUAAAUUUUUUUAAAACCUUUUAAAAUCCCUUGUAAAUCUUUGAAAACUCUUUUAAAUUUCCUUGUAAAUAUUUUAAAACCUUUUUAAAAUCCUCGUAAAUCUUUUAAAACACUUUUAAACCCUUUAAAAAUCUUUUAAAAAGCUUUCUAUAUCUUUUAAAGUCCUUUAAAAUCUCUUAUAAAUAUUUUAAAACCCUUUUACAAUCUUAUGUACAUCUUUUAAAACCCUGUUAAAAUCCAUUGUAAAUCUUUUAAAAUCCUUUUAAAAUCCCUUGUAAAUCUAUUUCCCGCCAAAAAAAAAUUAUAAGGAUUUUGUUUGGCGGGAACUUUUUUUUUUGGCGGGAAAAAAGUUUGACGGAAAAUAUUUUUUUGGCGGGAUAAAUAAAUUUUGGCGCAAAGAAUUUGGCGGAAAAUUUUCAGUUUCCAAUUACAUGUUUUUAUUAGAUGAAGAUAAUUUGGUCAUUCAGUUUAAGAGAAGGGGUAUAUUUAAAAAUGGACAACACAAAAGGGUAUUAUUGUAAAAGGGUAGUAAAAAAGGAUAGUUUUGCAAAUCACCCAAAAAAAAUAGCUACACUGGUUGAUAAAAAUAUUAAAUAUAUGUACACAUUUUUUUGUUUUAUGGUUAUAAUAGUAGGUAUUUAUUUUUCUAAAUUGGUACAUAUAUUGAAAGAUUAUUUGAUCUGUAAUUUGAAAUUAUUUCCUAAACAUUCAAAUAGCUGUAUGAUAAAAAAAUCUGAAUGAAAUUAAACAAGAUCGAAUUUCUUGAAAGUCAUUACUCUACACAAAACUUUUCCCUCAAUAUUUUUUAUAAGACAUAACUCAUGCAUAUGAUCAAAACAUUCCCAUGUGAACAAAUUAGCAAAGGAAAUCUUCCCAAAAUGUAUAAAAUCUUUCUAUAAUAUAUAUAAUUAAAGUCGGUUUACAUUUUUUUUUAAUUUAAGUAAUACAUAAAUUGUUGAACAGCAUAUAAUAAUAUUAUAGCUAAUAAAUUAGCUACAGCUAAAGGUAACGGUAAUGCCGGAUUAGCAGCUAGGACAGAAGUUGCCAACACUACAACUACCCCAUAUCUAUCCAAUGCAAAGACAAGUCUUGGAUUCGUACGAGCUAAUAAUGUGUUGGCUCCGAUGAGUACACAGAGGGCGUUCAUAGUUAGCAUGGAAAUAAGUGAGAACCGUGCGGUUAAGUCUCUGGGAUCUUCCACCUAAGCGUAAAUGCUGUUAAACUCCAGCCCAGCCGUGAGGCAAUACCCCAGCACCACCCAACUGAGGGAAUUCAUCCGGUGAGGCUCGAGUACUAAGUGCGGGAAGCUUCUCUCGUAAUAGUGCCUCAGAGCGAUGUUAAGAAAGUGAGUAGCAUGACCAAAAGAGGAUGAUGCUUGAUCAGAGUUUAGAUUACUACGCCUCCUGUUUGGUGAAUUCUUGGUACUUGUGUCUUGAUAGGUGGUAAAGACGAUGACGAUGGAUGCGUCCCAUUUGUAGGGCGAGGUGGUAAAGGACACGUCUAUAUAGGAGUUUCCUUUGGACUUUGGUUCGCUACAAUAAGAAACACCAAGGGCGAGAGUAAAGAGAAUAUAAAAUCUAGAAUAACAGAGCAUUUUUAUGAGCAACGAUAAGAAAUUUUUAUUAAAAAAAAAAUCCAAAAGAACAGAGCAUUACAAAAUUAAGCAACGGAAGAUUUUUAUUUUGGGCAAAACAAUUUCAUCAAUUUUCAAAGGAACUGACUUUGAAAUCUUCAUAUAGAGAUUCUAAAAUUAUCCAUAUGGUUAAUAUCUAUGUGUUACAAAAUUAAGGAACCACAAUUAAGAAUAGAAUGUUACAAAAUCCAGGUUAAUGGGGUAUGGUUUUUUUAAGGAAACUUUGAAACCUUCAACUUUUAUAGAGACUAGAUGAGUACCCACGCGAGUGUGGGUUUGUUUUGAAAAUUGUUAAAAAAAAAAUACAUUGAUCGUUCUUUAUGCUAAUUUAUAUUUACUAUUUGUUU